CAGCAGCAGCCACGGGAAUACGUAGGGUGCAAGCGUUAAUCGGAAUUACUGGGCGUAAAGCGUGCGCAGGCGGUUAUAUAAGACAGAUGUGAAAUCCCCGGGCUCAACCUGGGAACUGCAUUUGUGACUGUAUAGCUAGAGUACGGCAGAGGGGGAUGGAAUUCCGCGUGUAGCAGUGAAAUGCGUAGAUAUGCGGAGGAACACCGAUGGCGAAGGCAAUCCCCUGGGCCUGUACUGACGCUCAUGCACGAAAGCGUGGGGAGCAAACAGGAUUAGAUACCCCAGUAGUCCCUGUCUCUUAUAC
rnacentral:rRNA from 1 species